GAAAGGGGCCAGCUUCUGUGACGACUGCUGCAGAGGCAGGUGCAGUUUGUGUGCCACAGAUAUUAACUUUGAUAAGCACUUAAUGAGUGCCUUCUCUGUGCGAGAAUGGGGAGGAACAAAAUGCAGCUCCUACCCUCCUCGGGCUUUAGUUGUACCUUAAUAACAGGAAUUUUCAUCUGCCUGGCUCCUUUCCUCAAAGAACAAAGAAGACUUUGCUUCAUUAAAGUGUCUGAGAAGGAAGAAUCGUGUAACAGACACUACUCAAUAUCGAUCUCAACUGAUCCAGUUCUCCAGUCUCCCUGGAAAACAAUGGAUUGAUGCCCAGGGUGCGCUGAACACUGGAACCAUGGUCACUUCUGCACUUCACACGAUUCUGCUCCCACCAGUUGAGCUACCAACAGUUCCUGGUGCUUUUGCUUCCCAAACAUGUUUAUGCCAUUUGUUGCUUAUUACUGUACUUACUUAAUUUGAUUAAAUAUUAAGUAAAAUGA
rnacentral:lncRNA from 10 species